CGAAGGGUUUCUGCGUCUGCUUCUCCUCACAGCGGUACACGAUGGAUGUCGCUCCUCUGAAAACACAAGAAACACUGAAUUCAUCGGAAUCCUGCAAAACCAGGGAGGUUGGUUCUGGUUUUCUGUGGGGAAAACAGAUCCGUCUGAGCAGCAAUCACACACCGCCAUGCAGGGACUCGAUCUCCAUGGCAACGGGACACCAUGAAGCAGAGCGUGUUAGACGCGGCGGCGUUAGCGCUGCAUGUUCACAGAGACGCCAUCAAACACAGACAUGAUGUGUCACACAGCGGCCAAUCAGAGCCAGGAAACACCGAGGCAUUAAAACGGAGCAGGUCUGCGGUCCAGAGACACAACACACACACACACACACACACACACACACACAGGGCCGUAAACAUCAGGCCACACACAGGGGGCGCUGCGUUCAGCCACAACAUUAUCUUUAGUUUUAAUUCUUCGCUUGAAUGUUUUGUGUUUUAUCUGUCACUACAACACAUUUCUCUGGAUAAAUCAUACCUUAUUGAUCCAGUAAUGAUUGCGAUAAACAAUAAUCAGGGCCGGUCCAAACCUUUUUGGGGCCCUAAGCAAAUUUUCACCUGGCCCCCAUAUCAACAAGUCACCACCAGAUGCUUCAGCAUUCCUGAGCUUCUCUCCUGCUAACAUUAGCAUCAUCUGUACUUAGCUUACAUCAUGUCAGUGUUACUAUAGCUGCUGAUAUUUAACCUCACGUUAUUAACAAACUGAAAGAAAUAUUUGGAUUUUGAAAUGCAGAGUUAAGUGCAUUUUUAUUUUAACUACUUAAAAGAAACAUCAGCUGAAAAACAUUCAGUAAACAAGUUAAUAAGUUUAAUAUCUUGUAUUUUUCUGGAUGAUAUUAGUCUGUUCUUUAUGGAGGAGUUAAAUUUAAUCUGUUUGUAGUGUCUGAUGUUUUCUGCAUAUUCCAAGUUCUGACUGUUGUUCUGCUGUCUUUAUAUUUCAGCUUUGAAAAGUGGACUAAAGCAGCCCACAGAAUGAUGCUGCCUCCACCGUGCUGGGCAGCUGCAGCUCGCCUCCUACAAACAUCAAGGUCAAAAUCUGAAUCGUUCUCAUUCAGUAACUCCUGCUUUCAGAAAAUAGGUUGAACCGAUUCCUUUUCAAUCUAAGACGCUUUCAGUCGCCGUUCCCACCGCGCAGAAAUCUACGAUUCUCCUCCUUAGUUUCCAAGCCGCCGAUAAAAACUAAUUAUAGCUGCAGCCACAAUCAUUCCACCCUGAACACAGAUCAAUUAUUAAAGACCCAGGAUUAAUAUAAGAUUCAUGCCGACGAUGAGUGGAUAGAAACUUCUGACUGGAAUAUUUAUAAAAUAAAACACAAGCUGACAUGUUUUAAUCUGAAAUUCACCUGAAGUUUUUAAUGAUCUGUUUUUUUCCAACAUGAGGAGAAAAGUAUAAUUCCCUCAGAACUCAAGAUGUUUUGCUUAUGUUUGUAAUUUUUAGUGUUUAAUUUCUGAUGUUUCUCAGCUGUGAAAACAUCUCCAGCGGUUUAUAAGAGAACAUGAGCAGUGCUGAAAUCAGCAAACUGUUUUUGAAACAUGACUAAACAACAUGUGUGAAAUAUUGUGGAGGCAGUUAAAACAGUAGAUUCAUUUAUUUCUUAUUUUGUUUGUGAUGUCAGCGAAACUAAAGUUGAGAAAACAACAGCAUAUUAACCAAAUAUUUCCUUAAUGUUUUUAAAAAGGUUUGAAAAGAGAUUAAAAUUAGAUUUUUAGCAUUUAAAUGAAAAAUUAUCAAAAUGAAAAUAUAAAAUGUUUUAAAAUGUCAACAAAGAGCUGAACAUAAGCAAAAAGUAAUAGAGAAACAAAAACAAUAUAACACAAAAUUAAUGUUUUCUUAAAUAUCUAUACAGAAUAUAAAAGUAUGAAAAACAUCCAUCAGCAGGCGCAGCUUUCUUAGAGCUAUGCAGACGCAUCAGUGCCUCUGUUAUUAAUCAUAUUUUUUACAUAUGCACAAAUAUCUUAAAUACAGAAAAUUCUGAGUUGAAAUAUUUGUGCCUGUUCUGGCGCCCCCUCCCCUGCGGCGCCCCUCCGGUGAACACCCACUUUCUGCGACCAAUCGUGUUUUUGGACCGUGGGAGGGAAAAUAUUAUCACUAAAACAUGAAGAAGCUAAACUAUUGUAUGAAGAAGCAUUAAAAUGCUAAUAAUAGUUUCCUGUUGGAGCUAAGCUGAUUAUUACCCGGCCGGUUCCGCCUGCAGCCCCCCGCCGGCCGUAGAACCGCUCCUGCGUGUUUACACGUUAAACCCUCAUUAAUUCAUUAACAGCCUGUUUUCCGUCUCUGCUGCGAGCAGGAAGCGGCUCUGAUGUUAUUGGUUCCGGCUGGACUCGGAUACCCAGUAACAUCUCAGGCUGGAUUAUGAAGUUAAUCCUGAAGCGUCACAUGGACCCACAUGUGGCCAACUUUGGCCCACUCAAAGGAGCAGAACAACCCGCCACUUCCCCUC